CUUUAUCUAAUGGCACAUACUUUGCGUAAUAUUAAAUUCAUGUGCGUAGAAAUGAUUUUAUUAAAAUUUAAGUGCUGAGUUAUUCAGUUUGACUCAGCAGCUCGUUGAUGUAAGACGUGUGUGUCCACUGGGAACUCCAGUAUUGGGGCCUUACCGGACAGUAUUAAAAAAUUUGAUUCCUUUGGAUUUUUGGGUGAUCUACAACUUGACCCACUAAAUGUUCAAAUAGAAAUAGAAAAUCUACAAAAGAAAAAAUAUGCUGAAAAUUAUUUUAUUUCCUUCUAGCUAAGAAUACACGUUUCUUAUUGAUUUUUAAAACAUUUGAAAUAACACUAAAUGAUCUUAGUUGAUAAACCUUUUUAAUUUUUUUUUCUUUUUCGAACACGAUUCGGAUGAUUUAUCGGCAAAUUCUGCGUUAAUAGGCGACAAUUAAUAUAUCCUUGCCGAAGAUCGAAGCAAACAUAUAGCAAAAAUUGGGCUUCGUAACUCAACUGCCAGUGGAUUAAAUAAUAAUUUGAAUAAAUUUAUCGAUAGCAAACAUAUUUGACAAAUACUAUAUAUGAUAAUAUGUAUACUGAAAGAGCUUAACUAAGAAGUUGACGAUUAUAUUCCUGACAUUGUCAACAUAUUUUUGUAACUAAAGUCGAUAAAUGUAUCAACAGCAAACAUAAUUGAUAAAUACUAUAUACUUAAAUAUGUAUACAUAUAUAAAGAGAUUAGUUAAGGUUAAGAGUUGACGUUUAUAUUCCUGCACAUUGUAAAAAUGUUUUAAGUGGUGUACUUGAAAAACUUAUAAAAUCCAAAAACCUUUAAUAAAUUAGCAGCAGAGCCAUAGUAAACUUGAAAAGCGGGUCUGUUCUGUACAAAAAUAGUCAACGAUCUUGCACAAAUCAUUCAUGAAAGAUAUGUAAAGAGCUUUAGAACUUCCUAAAAAAAUUAACUUGACAAACUCCUUGUUAUUAAAAAAUCCUUAAAUUUUUUAUGCUAUGAAAUGUAUUUUAUAACACUAAAUAAAUAUGUUUAUUAAUAAAAACUGUAAUUAGUAUUGCAGCAAAAGUAUUAGAAUGCUCUUUAAACUAUAUUUAGUGCAAAAAAUAUUUCACCAUACUUUGAAAGAGAAAAGCUUUAGAAAGCUUUAUGUUACCUAAUCGAAUAUGCAAUUAGAGCUUUAGAAAGCUCUAAAUAUAAAAAGUGUAUUUUAUUUUUUUAAUACUACUUUAAAAUGAAAAUUUUAAUUAAUUUGGUAAUAAAAAUAAAUAUGUAUCAUAUAA